CCCCCCUGCGAUUUUCCUUCUCCUCCAUGCGACAGAACAGCCAGCCAUUGUUGGCUGGCAAGCUUGCUCAUCUGGCUGCCAUUUUCAACACCAUAAGCAGCAAAAUCGUCCUCUUUCUUCCCUUUUUAAAGCCUCCUACAAUUUCAGAUCAAAACCACCAAGUUUGAGCUCAAUUUUGAGCCAAACCCGAGCCCAAAAACUGGGUUGUUUUGAACAGUGGCUGUUCGUGGUCUUUUCCGAUCAAUUCCGGCUGCCACAACUCAGGUAAUUGCACCUAAAACACUCUUAUACCUUCUCUUUGUGUUACCCUUUGAAAAUCCAACGAGAAUCCAUUCAAAUUUCUUUGAUUUUGAAACUAAAAAUUCUAGGUUUUCAAGAGACAGAAAGCUUCGUUCGAGGGCUUUAGAGAUGGAAUUGAUCGUCGAGCCAAGGUAUAAAGUUACUCCCCUUGAUGUGCUUAAUCCGUAGGUGUGAUUAUUGGCCGGCGGUUUGGAGUUUCCCGAUCGCCGAAAAAUUGCUCAAUGCACCCACCGGCGGUGGCGGUGCGUGGUAGUGCAUCACCGGGGUGUCAAUGUUAGGUUUUUGUCUUAGAAUGUUCGCUACGUCAUCUUGAGCAUGACGGUAUGCUCGGAUUUCAACUUGGCUAUCGUUCGGUCGUCGAUCGGAUAUCUCAUAUUAGGCGUUAUCCGAGUUUGAUAUAUCCCGACUGUUGGAUUAACUUCAUUUUCAAAUAUGUUAAUCUAGACACCUCUAGGAUUGUGUAGAAAUUCACGGAUCGAGAAUCGGAGUCCCGGAUACUCCGAUUUAAUAUUUCAAAGAUUAAGUUAAACAAUAACCAUCCGACCGUAUGAUCAUGAGCAAUCCGACAGUCCGAUUCGGACCAGACUUACAGGACAUAGUUAUUUAAAUGUGAGGAACUUAUAGGAACUCUCGGAUUGGUAAUUGGAGGUCGUGGACCCCACGAGGUCCUGGAUUGACCAAUAUGGAAGUUUAUCACUUAGUGAGUCUCGGGCCUUUUAAGACAGCUCUAACCAUAUGAAAUGCUUAAGUGGGCAUAAGAAUGACUUUAAAGUUAGUGUACGCACUUCUAGGAGCCGGAGUUUAGGAUUUUAAUUAAAUACUUAUACCAAGCAGUUUUAUUAAUUAAUUAUUCAUGGUGGUUUAAUCAGGCAUCCGGGGCCAGACAGACCCGUAGGAGGGACCUUCAGGAGGUCCAGCUAUCUCGGACCAGGAGUGAGUGGACUUUUCUUUUAUAAAUGAUUUUAUGCAAAUGAAUUUCAUUAUUUGAUCUUGAAUAAGUUUUAUUGAUCAUGGUUUUCCUAGCAUGAUUUGUUGAAGUUAAAUAUCUUUAUUUAUUUGCUGCCUAGUUGAAAAUGCUAAAAAGAUAUGGAAAGUAAAGAUUGAGAUAUUUAUCAGAUAAAAUGGCAGCAGAGUUCUAGAUUUAACAAAAAUUCAGUUAUUCAUCAGACCUUUCAGAAAUUUUAUAUUUUCUUAAGCCACCUUAGGUACCCAGUUAUAGAAACAGGUGGCCUUUGGUAUAUGUUGCCUUCGGAUAUGACGAUGUCCACGGACAUCCAAGUUGCCUUCAGUUUUGUCAGCGCGCUUGACAUCUGCCUCACGAGCAAGGUCUAAAAUAUCGAUGAUAUCGGAAAUAUCGGUAGUCCAAAAAUAUGAAAAUUUCGAUGGAAAUAUCGGGAUAUUAUCGAUAUCGAUAAAAAUUGAAUAAAAACCACGGAAAUUGUAAGAAAAACUUGGAAAUUUUCAUUGAAACUUUGGAGAAUGUUUAUUUAGUCAAUUAUCUAUGAGUUUAUCACAAAAAAUUAGAAGGAAAUGCAUUGCAUGAUGGAUUUAACUAAUUUUAAGUUGAUUAUACAGCAAGCGGGCAAACACUAUGAGUGUAAAAAAUAUGUAAUAAUUAAUGAAAAAAGAUUAAAUACACCGUAAUCAUUUAUAUAUAAUGAUUUACUAUAAUAUUUUACACUUUAUACAUUGCAUGGUAAGAUACAUGAGUGACUUAGUACCACAUAGAGUUCCUACGAGGUUCAAAUUUUUCACUAUCUUCAUCAUCUCUAUGUGUAGAAUAAGUGUAUUGUGAAGAGUAGUCAUCAAAUGAUAAAUCCCCAAAAUAGUUUUGCAUGUAAUUGUUAACAUACCACCCAUAUAAAUAUAAAUAUUUUAGCAUAUUAUCACAAAAAAAUAAGUGAUAUGGUGUUUAAGGUGUUGGAGGAGUAAAAUGGGAGGGGUUCAUAUCCCCUUUGUGCUUUUUUCUCCCAUUUUUCCCUUUUUUUAAAAAAAAACUUUUUUUUUUCCUUCACAUCGAUAUUUUCGAUAUUUUCGAUAUUUUAGCGAUAUUACACCGAUAUUUUGACAAAAUAUUGCUGAAAUGUGAGCGAAAUUAUCGACAUCAAUAUUUUCCGAUAUUAUCGUCGAUAUUGUCGAUAUUUAUACGAUAUGUACAUGGAUAUGUUCCGAAAUAUCCGUGAUUCGAAAAAACUGAAAUAUCCUCGAUAUUUCCUCGAUAUUAUCAAUAUUUCAGACUAUGCUCACGAGUUUCGGGGACCCGGGACCGUGGGAGCCAGGAAUGCGAAUCAGGCUGACUACGGUCCUCUGAAUCCUGCCAGUUUGCGGCUCAGGUUGACUUUGUGUCACCGAGACUUGCCAAGGGAAUUGACGGAUAUCAGGAAAUUGACAGAAUUAAAGGGGUACACCUAGGUGGUAGUUUUAAAUUGAUUUCAAUGCUUUUAAGAGAGUUUUAUUGACCUUGAAUAUGAUUGGCAUAUACGUAUAUAAAUAUGUGAAUGCAUUGAUUUUAGUACGAAUAUAACGAAGAGGAAAAUUUAGUUUUGCAUAACUGUUUUUACAGUGGGUUAGUAUGUUCCUAUGCUAUUUUGCUUAAAACUUUGUUUUUGGGUCCACUCACCUUUUAAAUGUUCUGCGUCCCAGGCAAUAGACGUGCACCAGAGCGCCACCACCGGGCAGAUUCCAUAAUCCGCUCCACUCUUCCUCUUAUAUAGAAUUUUCUUUUGAAAUCAAAUUGUUCUGUUGUAUAUUCCUGAAUUAGUUGCUCUGAUGAUUUGCCCUAGGACUUUCUGUGUGGCCUAAGGCCGUUUAGUUUAUCAGAACUGUUUGGAUCUUAAAUUCGAAGCAUAUUGGCAGUUGGGAUAUGUAUAUUUAUGCUUUUGACAUGUGGAAAUUCUGGGAAAUGAUCAAAUUGCAGGGGAAACUUUGCCGAAUUUUCGGUAGAAGUUGAAAUUGUAAUAAACUUGAAUUUUAACUAGAAGGGC
rnacentral:lncRNA from 1 species